rnacentral:lncRNA from 1 species
CGGAGCGCUACGGCGCGCGUGGCGGCACACCUGCUCCCCGAGGCUGAUCGUUAACAGCCGUGGGCAGGGGUUGGGCCAGGGUACAGCUGUCAGGACCUCACUGGACAGGACCGGAGAGGACCCCGCGUAACCGCGGAACAGACACUCCCGGCAGCGGCCGCCGCCGCGGCACUGCUACGGGACGAGCCGGAGCGCUUGGCCAUGGCGGCCCGAUCCGCACUGGCGCUGCUGCUGCUGCUGCCAGUCCUGCUCCUGCCGGUGCAGAGCCGCUCAGAGCCCGAGACCACCGCGCCCACCCCUACCCCAAUCCCGGGUGGCAACUCGUCAGUGAGCAGGCCCCUGCCCAGCAUCGAGCUCCACGCCUGCGGCCCAUACCCCAAACCAGGCCUGCUCAUCCUGCUGGCCCCGCUGGCCCUGUGGCCCAUUCUCCUGUAGGGACGCCCAGCCAGCCACCUCUAAGUCGCCGCUGGGACUGGCCUGCCCCAUUGAGCAACAGAGACGCUUGACAGCCGCCCGCCUCCAUUCCUUGACUUCACCCAGAAAUGGGUCCAGAAAACUGAAUCCCACCAGCACUGGUUUGGAGCAACCGGACACCGAGGUUUCACCUCCAGGGAUUCCAUGAAGAGCCUCAAUGGAGAUGCCACAUCCUACUGAGUUAAAGAUGGGCUGAGGAACUUGGGUACCCACAAGUCUGCCUUGGGAAUCAAAAGAAAAUAUUUACCUUUAGUUUGGUUCAUUAAAUGCAUGAAGUCAAAAUAUGACCAGGAAAUUACAGUUCCCCGGUCACCAGCCCUACCACCACCCCCUCCUCAAGGAGAAAUGUGGAAUCAACAAC